CGAGUAAGACAGACGGCCGCCCCUCCAUACGGCGGGGAGGAAAGUCCGAGCACCGCAGGGCAGGGUGCCUGGCAACACCAGGCGGAGGCGACUCCAGGGAAAGUGCAACAGAAAGAAACCGCCGCGCCACGACGCGGUAAGGAUGGAAAGGCGAGGUAAGAGCUCACCGGCGGCUUGGCGACUUGUCCGCCCUGUAAACCCCACCCGGUGCAAGAUUGGAAUGGGAGCAUUCAAUAGCGGCCCGCUACGCUCCCGGUAAUCGCAUGAGCCCGCCGGCGACGGCGGGCCAGAGAUAGAUGGCCGUCCUCAGACAACUCGGCUUACGGCUUGCUCGCAAA
rnacentral:RNase_P_RNA from 1 species